rnacentral:rRNA from 1 species
GACAGAGGCCCCGAGCGUUAGGCGGAAUCACUGGGCUUAAAGCGUGUGUAGGCGGACCCCUAAGUGUCUUGUGAAAUCCCACGGCUCACCCGUGGAACCGCUGGGCAUACUGGGGGUCUUGGGCCGGUUCAGGGGCGACUGGAACAAGCGGUGGAGCGGUGAAAUGCGUAGAUAUCGCUUGGAACGCCGAAGGUGAAAACAG